AUUGAACGCUGGCGGCAUGCUUUACACAUGCAAGUCGAACGGCAGCGCGGGCUUCGGCCUGGCGGCGAGUGGCGAACGGGUGAGUAAUACAUCGGAACGUGCCCAGUAGUGGGGGAUAGCUCGGCGAAAGCCGGAUUAAUACCGCAUACGACCUGAGGGUGAAAGCGGGGGAUCUUCGGACCUCGCGCUAUUGGAGCGGCCGAUGGCAGAUUAGCUAGUUGGUGGGGUAAAGGCCUACCAAGGCGACGAUCUGUAGCUGGUCUGAGAGGACGACCAGCCACACGGGGACUGAGACAGGGCCCAGACCCCUACGGGAGGCAGGAGUGGGGAAUUUGGGACAAUGGGCGAAAGCCUGAUCCAGCAAUGCCGCGUGUGAUGAAGGCCUUCGGGUUGUAAAGCACUUUUGGCGGGAACGAAAAGGACUGUGCCAAUACCACGGUUCGAUGACGGUACCCGCAGAAUAAGCACCGGCUAACUACGUG
rnacentral:rRNA from 1 species